UAUCACCCCAGCUGACCAUUCAUGGUCCAGCGCUCUUUUUGGACAAGCCAUUCUUUGGACUACGAAGAAAGCCUGGUGAAAUUCUCAGGUCACACAUGCACUUACUGAAGAAGUAACCAACACGGAAAGCCAAAUACCUACUCCUAACGAAUCACAUAGGAGGGCGCUCUUUUAGGUGGCUAUCCUACAGCUUCCCCAUGCCAACAGCCUCCAAUUUGACACACCUGAAGGCUUCUCUUUUUUUCCACUAGAGAGUUUUCCCACUACUUGACCUGCAUUUGAGUCUCUGUCAAGCAUAAGCGAUGUUUUCUUGGAGGUUCCAUCAAGAUAAGGUCUGCACUUCCCAUCGUCACAGACCCUAGCCUUGAACCAGAAGUGUCACCGCUUGUGCCUUGCUGCUUGCUUCUAGUCAAGUCCAAGAUAAUGUGAAUAUUUCAUCUAUUGGAAGAGACAUCAGAAGAAGAGACAUCAGAAGACAAUGAAAGGGACCUUAUCAGGCAUACUUGCUUAAGACACCUGCACUUCAGGAUUCUAAAACAACUGACCUUUACUAUUACUUCUCAUCAGAUGGUUCAAUUUAUUUUGUAGGAACAACACCAAAAAGAGCCCUGGAGAGAUUUUUUAUUAGAUCCUGCAUCCUUCCACUCAGGAGGUUUAUGUUUGUCUCUAGUUGUUCAGCAACCUAUUAUAUUCAUUCAUCUUGAACAAAAGGCGGGACUGGCAAUGUUGAACUUUACCUGAGCUCUGUGUUUCUAGAAAACAGUGAUGGUUAAGAAAUUCCCCACAUCCUUUGUGUUCUGAAAAGACUUAUUUCAUUAAAAGCACCCUUCUCCAUGCAAUUUAGAUGAGACUCCCUGUCCGCUUUUUCUCAUGACUCCAAUAAGACUCGUGCAUACAGGUGUCUGUGGUCAACUGAUUUUUGAGAAGGGUGCCAAGACCAUUCAAUGGGAAAGAACAGUUUUUUCAACAAAUAGUCCUGAGAAAACAGGAUAGCCACAAGCAAAAGAAUGAAGUUGAAUCUUUACCCCACAAUAUAUAUUUUAAAAAUUCAAAAUGGAUCAAAGAUCUAAAUAUAAGAGCUAAAAUUAUAAAAAUCUUAGAAGAAAACAUAGGGGUAAAUUUUUAUGACCUCACAUGUGUGGCAAUGAACUUUUA